CCAAGCGAAAUUGCACCAUCGGAGCGGUCUAACUUUAGUGGGUGGGGACGAGGGUGCUUCCUUAAACAGCCCGGAGAAGGAGAAGAGCCGAGGGAACCGGGUAGGGGCGCGCUGCUUCUUCUUCCUGGGCGGCGGCGGCGGCGGCGGCUGCUGGUGCUCGUGGUGUCGCCGUCGCAGCUACUCCUCUUGCCCAGCCCAGCGCUUUCUGGAUCUAUCGCCUAACACGUGGGGGCUCUUUUUUUUUCUUCUUCUCUUUUUUUCUUUUUCUUUUUUUUUUUUUUGCGCGGCGGAAACUUUGGAGGGAUACUUGCUGCCAACUUAAGAGACACGCGCUCGGUGACAGCGGCGUGGGACUUCUCGCCGUGGCUUUGCGGGUGGUGGAAUCAAAGCUCCAGGCGGAUCCAGGCGCUCCUUUGCGGCCAGGGGUGCGGGUGCCUUCUCCUGCGAUUGGAACGCCGCCCCUUCGUUGCUGACUCUGCGGGGGGCUCCAGCCGCUCGCCCCCCGCCGCCGCCGCCGCUCCCUUUUUCCUAAGCACUGAAAAAAAAAAUGUGGCCGGCGAGCCUUUUUCACGAAGCAGCUCUAGUUUUCCCGAGGGGCGGGAGCCAGCCUGCCUGCCUGCCUGCCCCCCCUCCCUCCCACCCCAGUGCCUGCCGUACCUCCUCGUUUUUGUGCCUCCGGUGUAACUCAAGAAGAUCUGGCCGGGACGAGGGAGGACGAGCAAGUUAAAUCCACAGGAACGCGCCAGGGUUGCUGGCUGUCCCCCCUUGACAGAAGAAGAGGCAUUCUGGUUUUGUCAACCUUCACCCACAUGAUUCUCUUGUCAAAUGCUUAUGAUUGGGUCGGUCUUUAUCUUCUAUCCAACUCUACUAUUCUAUGUUCUCUCUUCCCAUCUCAUACUUUCUAGAGUUGCACAUUGAAAACGGAAUUUGAUCCAAAGUAAUUGAGAUCUUAUGGCAUGGCCCUUCCACCCUGCAGCAUACUUCUAUUGAACAGACAGAUACAAUAUUUAUUGAAGAGUGUCGCAAGUUUUUCCCGGCGCUGAAUGUAAAUACGCACGCAUACCGAUCGUGCUGUUCCCGUUUGUAGUCAGCGGCGCUAGGCAAAGUGCAGGAAAGAAGUAAGGCACAGUAAGCAGAAGAAAUGAAGGACGUGCAGUCGGGAAAAAGAAGAAGAAAGACAUAUUGCAGCGUCAAGUAUUAUACCAACAUUAUGGGUGUAUAGUAGAUACAGAGCAGGCCAGAUCUCUUAGGUAAUUACCAUAUUGGGCUGGCUCAAACUUUGGCAGCCUUCUUGAGAGUACAUUGUGGAGCUCUGAAACUUUUGUACUAUAGACCCAGACGUUUGCCAGGAGAAGCCCUGCUGAACAAAUGUCUUUUUCAUGCACAAGGGGUUUUGAUGCACACAUGGUGUUCCCCAGAAGAGGUUAGCCAGUGUCGGAGACACCCCCACGGAGUUCUUUGACCUGAUUCCAUCAAGUCCAACAUACACACCAGAAGGCCUUUUCUGCCUGAGAGCUACUGUACAACAGUUUAUAUCUCAGCUGGUUUCAUUUUUAUGAGCUCGGAGCUGAGGGCUCUGCUUCCAAGAAGCAUUUCUUGAAUGACAACUAUACAGAACACUGCAACUUGUAUCCAUGCUGCAAAGUUUCAAUUGCACACACAGGGCAAUUUUUUAUACUAAAUUUCUCAACUGCUUUCAAGACUUGAUGCGGUUCCCAGUCUGGUACAGAGAUGGGGAAAAUGAUUUUCUUUGACCUCGAAGCCCUCUAGAUCAGGGGUCUCCAACCUUGGCAACUUUAAGACUUGUGGACUUAAACUCCCAGAAUUCCUCAGCCAGCUUUGGAAAUUGAAGUCCACAAUUCUUAAAGUUGCCAAGGUUGGAGACCCCUGCCCUAGAUGACAUGAACUGUAGUCUACCUCAUCUCUGACUUGCAACUGGGAAUGGUGGGACUUAUAGUCCAGUGCGUUUGGAAGGCAUCAACUGGGACAAAGUUUUCUACAAAGAUGAACUCACCCUGAGCUCGUCUCUAUCCCAAUAUGAAUGGAUGUGCUUUCAACAGCUAAUUCCAUCUUCAUCAACAUCUUAAAACAGGUAAGCAGAAAAACAGCUGUUCAACUGUUGACUAAGGAAAGGAUGCUCAAAAGACCACUUGGCAUAAGGAUGCCCAUCUAGCCAAUUGGUUAAGCUAUUCCUGUGCAUCUCUAGAUGUUGGAUCAAUCGCUUACUUUAAGGAAGGACAUACUGGUGCAAAUAAUUUUUUGUUUUUUAUUUUACAUGAGGAACGCAAUGGCUGAGGGGUUAAGAUGCUGAACUUGCCAGCUGUAAAGUCAACAGCCCAGGUUCGAGACCCGAACUCCACACGGCGGGGUGAGCUCCUGUUACUUGCCUCAGCUCCUGCCCACCUAGCAUUUUGAAAGCAUACACAUACAAAUAAAUAGGUACCACUUCAGUGGGAAAGUAACAGCGUUUCAUGAGCCUUGGCAUAUAGCUACAUGAUUGUAUGACCAUGGAAAUGUCUUUGGACAACAUGGGCUCCCUCGGCUAAAAAACAGAGAUAAACAUCCCUCCUUAGAGUCGGAGAUGACUGGUCCGGGGAAGCCUUUACCUUUCUUUAAGGGGGCAUGUUUUUCCAAAUUAUAUCAAGGCAAUUGCUGCUGGCUAUUCUAAUGUGCAAAAUGCUGUAUUGUAUAUCAAAUGCCGUGAAAAUAAACAGAACUUACAAUAAA